GAGUGAGUUACCAGUGACCCAGGGCUGGGGCAGAAGGAGGGUGCAGCCUGGGACCUCCAAAGGCUGCCCUGAACAAAGCUUGCUCCCCCCACACCCUCAAUCGGGAUUGAGUGCUGGAUGUGACACGGAGUGCUGUUUCAGUCGGUGAGGAGGCUGAAGAACAAUGUAGAAAGCAAUGGAACUUUUUUAAACUUCCUAACUCGCUUGCGAGAGUGUUCGAGACUGUUCUACCACCACUCACCGCGCAAGGCUGGCUACUUGCCGGACUGGUGGUGGGGUAUAUAUAGAGCAGCACGCAUCCCUACGUAAUAGCAGUAGUAAAUAAACAUUCAUGAUAACUCAAAUUAACUUGUGUCCGUUAUUAUUCACAAAUCAGGAAAAUUAUUUUUAUAGAUUUUUUUAUUAGUAUAUUAUG